UCCAGUGCCAUACACAACAACAUUCUUGAAAAUAUAAAUAGAUUUCCCUUUCUUUAUUGAACUAUGUGGCUACAAAAAGGUCUGGUGUUAUAUAUUUUUCUACUCAUGCACAGGAAAAAUAUUGCUCUGCUUUUAAGACAACGAUGGAUAAUCUAUAUUAUGCCUGGUGUGACUGAACUACAGAGCUUAAAAGCUUUCAACAGGGGCUGAAGGAAUCUUACAGUGUGAAUGGAGUUAAGUAAGUGUUGUGAUACAAAAGUCCUGUUCUGACCCCAAAAGUAAUAAUAC